rnacentral:rRNA from 1 species
UACGUAGGGUGCAAGCGUUGUCCGGAAUUAUUGGGCGUAAAGAGCUCGUAGGCGGUUUGUCGCGUCUGCUGUGAAAUCCCGAGGCUCAACCUCGGGCCUGCAGUGGGUACGGGCAGACUAGAGUGCGGUAGGGGAGAUUGGAAUUCCUGGUGUAGCGGUGGAAUGCGCAGAUAUCAGGAGGAACACCGAUGGCGAAGGCGGCUCGCUGGACCGGAACUGACGCUGAGGCGCGAAAGCGUGGGGAGCAAACAGG